CUGAAAACACUUUGUUUUUUAUCCUUUUAUCAUCGAUAUAUUAUAGUAUCGUGGGUGAGUAGGAGAAAAAAAAGAUAUGAUGUAUCUAAAUCAACAAACGUGUUGAUUGAUCCAAAUUCUAACCUGCGUGUGUGUAUAUUCAAUUAAUAACUGAAUAUACAAAAGAGAGAUGAAUGGCUGCUGAAUUAUUGGUUUCCAACAUAUGUAUAUGUAUUUUACAAAAGAGAAAAAAAAAAUUGAAAUUUCUUUCUGUCAAAGAUAUAACAGAAAAUGAUGUAUAUGUAUGUACACAUGCAUAUACGUACGCACGCGCGUACACACACAGAGAUUUUAACUAGUCCUUUUUUUUUCAAUGUCGUCAAUUAAUCUUACCAAUUAUCACAAAAUUGACUCAGGGUUGCGUGGACGAGGGUAACGUUCGAACAGUCUCUACUAUUUGUUCGUUAAACAGUAGGAACUGAUUAGAAACGUGUGUAAUGUAAUGCGUGAGUAAACAAUGAGAGAAGCUCGAAAUAAUAUCUCAGUGAUCUUUUAUAAUAACAAUGUAUGUUCGACUAUCUUGGACUUUAGGGUUAUCGCACGCCUUGAUCGUCGACCAUGUAAAUAAACUUUGUGUAGUUACACACAUGGAUAGUAAAAAAUUUUAAAUGAUGAAGCAACCGUGUUGUAAUAUGACUACUGAGAGUACAACAAAUUUUUAGGGGAUGAAAAUAUAGAGAACAAUUGAAAAAUGA